UAAUAUAUAUAUUUUCUUUUUGUGAGGAACCUUAUACUAAAAUUUGUAAGUUUACAAAUUUGCAUGUGCAAGUUUAUAAGUCUGCAUGCCAAAUAAAGUCGGAGAUUCGGACUUCUCCUCAGAUUAACCGGAAAAGUGCUAAACCAGAUCACUCAACUACUAUCAACUGAGAUAUCUCCGUAGAAGAGAUUGAGUGGAAUUUGUAUCGAAGGCGUGUUAUAGCUUAUAAGGAUAAAUUAGGAUGAAUGUGAUAUGGCCGAGGCUUCUGACUCCAACUUAUCUUUCUCAAUUGAUACGGAAACAGAAAAGCCCAGUAAAAGCUCUUCAGAUCUUCAAUGAAGCAAAAUCGAAAUAUCCUAAUUAUCAUCACAAUGGUCCUGUCUAUGCCACCAUGAUCAGUAUUCUUGGAAGCUCAGGGAGGAUAACUGAUAUGAGGAAAGUUAUUGAUCAAAUGAAAGCAGACUCGUGUCAGUGCAAAGAUACUGUUUUUGCAACUGCAAUCAACACUUAUGCGCAAGCUGGUUUGCUUGAUGAAGCUAUUACCCUGUUUCGAAACCUUCCUAAGUUUAACUGUGUGAACUGGACAGAAUCUUUUAAUACACUUUUAGGGAUUUUGAUAAAUGAGUCUAAGCUAGAAACUGCUCAUCGCCUUUUCUUAGAGCAUUCAUAUGGCUGGGAAGUAAAGUCGCGAACUCGUUCCUUGACCUUGCUUAUCAAAGCUCUGUGUCAGAGUGGUCGCUCCGAUCUUGCAGUUCAUGUCUUUCUAGAGUUUAAUAGUCAAUGCUGCUAUCCUGGCAAGGAAACAUAUAGAAUUUUGAUGAGAGGAUUAUGUGAUGAUGGGAGACUAGAUGAUGCCACACAUCUGUUGUACUCGAUGUUCUGGCGGAUCUCUCAAAAAGGUAGUGGUGAGGAUGUUGUGAUAUAUAGAACUCUUUUGCAUGCUUUUGUAGAAAGAGGACAUAUCGAGGAAGCUGUUGAGCUUCUUGGUAAGAUCUUGAGGAAAGGACUUAAGGCCCCGAAAAGAUGCCUCAAGCAGCUUGAUCUUUCUAGUUUCCAUAAUUGUGAUGACAAAGGAGCCAAAUAUUUAAUAGAUGAUGCUCUAAUAAAAGGUGGAAUCUCUAGUUCAGAUAGUUAUAAUGUGAUGGCUGUUGAUCUUUACUCAGAGGGCAAUAUUGGUACAGCUAACAGGGUGAUUCAAGAGAUGCAUUAUAGAGGUUUUAGACCCACACUUUUGAUUUAUGAAGCAAAGAUAGCAGCAUUAUGUAGGCAUGGCACUGUUGAUGAAGCAAUAGAGGUUAUAGAAAAGGAGAUGGUAAAUGAUAAUUGCCUUCCAACUAUCAAGUUGUUCAACACUGUUAUGAAAGGGUUGUGCGAUGAAGGAAGAUCUGUCAUGGCUAUUGGGUAUUUAAAAAAGAUCUUUAGGCAGGUCGGUUGUGUACCCGACAAGGACACUUACUCCAUUUUAGUGGAUGGAUUGUGUGCAGAGGCAAAAUAUAUUGAAGCGGGCCAAAUUUUAGAGGAAAUGCUAAAGAACUCCUACUCCCCUGGUGAAAAUACUUAUAAUUCUCUUAUACAGGGUCUAUGCUCAAUGGGCAGGCCAUUUGAAGCGAUAAUGUGGUUGGAGGAGAUGGUUAGCCAGGCCAAAAUGCCGAAUGUUUCAGUGUGGAAGUCACUGGUAGCUUCUGUAUGUGCUGAAAAGUUCAGCACCACAACUGUUUCUGCUGUGCUAGAGCCAAUAUCUAAAACAAUUAACUGAUAGUCCAUCUGGAUCCUUUGUUAUUUCAGAUUUGAAUCCACUUGACAAAUAGAGGAAUCCAGACCUCAACUCUGUUUUUAUCAAAGCUUCUUGGGACCAAGCUCUCAACUACUCCGCCAACUUUGUUUGAUACAAUGUCAUGCAAUGUGAAGGUUGUGAGUUGUGACUUGUUGGUCGAAAAAUCCAAUACGGGUGCAGGAGAAUCAAACACCAACGAAAUUUGCAGUACUUGAAAAUUGCUUUUCAAUAAUAUACUAAAUACUAAUGAAAUACAACAAUUAGGUUGUUACACCCACUACAUUGUCAAAUGUAUAUAUAUGCGUAGGAGUUCUGUCAGCCAAUGAUGUCCUGUUAGAUUUCAUCUCAAGACAUCAUUAAUCCCAUCUGUUUGGCGACUCAAAGCAACACAAAUUGAUGCAGCUUGUUGAGCAUUAGUAAGGACUUGAUUGAAGGAGAACACUGGAAUUAUGCAGGCACGAUUAGUAUUUUAAAGGGCAAAUUGAUUUAUAGGUCCUUGAACUAUUGACGUUUUAUUGUCUAGGUAUCUGAACUAAAGAUUUCGUAUUUUAGGUCACUUAACUUAUCUAUUUUCUGAUCUAAGUCCUUCCGUCAAAAAGAUUCUAACGGUGUUAACUAGGGUUCUUGAGUUUCAUACAGAUCAAAGCAAUUUUGAAAGUGUUAGUGAUAUCCAAACUCAAAGUUCAAGUAGUCAAAUUGAAGCUUGAAUCACUAGCGACACUCAUAUGACAACAAUUUUCACAAAUUAGAUUUAAUUUUAAAAAACCCCAAAUUGGACCAUAAAUUUAGGGUUUUUUAUCGAAUUUAGUGACCUAAAUUUAUAAAAUUUUAAAUUGAACAUAAUUUUUCAAAAUUGGUGUCAUAUGAGUGUCGCCAGCGACUCAAACUUCAAUUUGACUACUUAGAACUUUGAAUUUAGAUAUCACUAACACCUUCAAAAUUGCUUUGAUCUGUAUGAAACUCAAGAACGCUGGUUAACACCGUUAGAAUCUUUUUGACGGAAGGACUUAGAUUAGAAAACAGAAAAGUUAAGUGACCUGAAAUACGGAAUCUUUACUUCAGGGACAAAACGUCAAUAGUUAAGGGACCUGCAGUUUAAUUUUCCCGUAUUUUAAAUGUUGUGGUUUGUUAACCAUUUUGUUCAUGGGUUGCUAAUGACGAAUCCUUUUCUUUCC